rnacentral:rRNA from 1 species
CUCGUAGGUGGCUUUGUAAGUCAGGUGUGAAAGCCCACGGCUCAACCGUGGAAUUGCACUUGAUACUGCAAGGCUAGAGUACAGGAGAGGGAAGUGGAAUUUCUGGUGUAGGAGUGAAAUCCGUAGAGAUCAGAAGGAACACCCGUGGCGAAGGCGACUUCCUGGACUGUUACUGACACUGAGGAGCGAAAGCGUGGGGAGCAAACA